rnacentral:lncRNA from 1 species
CUCGAGUCUCCGCGCGGCCCUGGAGGGGUGCCCUGGCCCUCACCUUCCAAGAUGGGCCCAGCAACCGGUUUUCCUUCACGGGGACUUCAUGCCGACGAAACAGGUGGCGUCAUCGGCUCCAAUCGGCCUUCUGCGGCUUCUGUCGGCUUCCAGUCCGCCACGGGCCGGAAAACCAAGUCCCCAGACAAAGCUCUGUGCCUGCAGAUUCCAGAAAAUCGUGGAGCAAAGCAGUCAUCGUAGCCAACCGUCCAGAGGGCCUCUGAGCGAGUUCCUGUGCCCUGUUUCUCUCAACAAGGAUAACCACUUCCACCUGCCUGUGUGACUUGUUCCUGGGACGAGGGACGGUCUGGACAGGGCUGGGCUGCCUUGCAUGU